CAUUUCUUUAACAGUAGAAAAUUGCACCAGCCAAACUGUUUCCAUUUGAUCAUGUCCAUUCACUGCUCUCAUCCUUUCACUGGCUCCAUUUAGAUUUAUCUCUGUCUGGACUUGUAAAUGCUAUUUGUAAAUGCAUAUCAGCCUUUUAUACCAAAUGUCCAUUCUCCAUGAUGCAAGAGCUCAGGCAGCUAUCAGAUUUUAAAUUCUGAUACAGUAUAGUAUUGCAUUAUUUUGUUCCAUGUAAUUUUUUGCUAACUCUGUACCACUAUACUUCUCACCAUUUUCAUUCUCUAAUUUCACUAUAUCCUGCCAACUAGUUCAGACCAUCUUGAUUUACCUCUCAAAAAAUCACUAAUGCAGUAAAGUCCCAUUUAUUUUUAAGUUCUUUAUUCACAAUCAUGAUCCCACUCUGCCAGUAGUUUAAAGAACUACCACAGCCACAUCUUGCUAUGUUUUAGCUUACACAAUAUACUCCUUCAUUUACCAAGUUUUAUCAGUGUACAUACAAUGGUCUCGCAAUUCCCAUGAACUAAAUCAUGUGGUUAUAGGUCAGACCAAAUGAAAAUUUACUAGUAGUAUGAAACAGGCAUUAUAUUCCAUCAUAAUUAAUAAUGAAACAAUCAUGAAUUCCAUAUAAUUGUCUAUUUCAAAACAAAAUAUUCUUUAAAUAUAUACAAUGAAAACAAAUCUACAGUAAGAUUAUGAGUGAUAGCUACUCUUUUUUUUUUGACAGACUAUAGUAAAUAAAUGAGCCAAACAUAAAUGCAGUAGAGUACAUUGUAUACAUACACUUACAUCAAGUCCAUUCCACAAUAUAUAAAUCUAAGCACUCUGGAGUAAGUAAGUAUAUUUACAUAAUAACAAUACAAAAACAGUUCUCAUUAAGCAAUAUAAGACACUUAACAAGGCACAAGCAUGUAAUUCUUAAAAAUUAAGUACCAUCUCAAACUUGCAUUAAGUAACUCAUGUUCAUUUUUUUUUUUAUUCUAACAUUAUUCAGCCAUAACCACUGUGAGGAGAUAGAUUCAUGUACAACCAAUUCACCAAAGAAGAUACAUUAAUGUAUUUAGUCUUCAUAUACAUAUGUUCACUUAAUUCCAUCACAACACCACUCAUAUGAUAGGUCAUCAUGCAAGUACAAUUUAAAAUUUUUACAGUAUAUCCCAACAACACACCUUAUUAUGUCCAUUUUAUUAAUGCAAGAAUUAGUUAAUUUUCUGCCUGACUUUGUAUUUCAUCUUCCUAUAACUUGAACAAUUUCAAGAGGCAUGUUGAUACCUCCAUAAUUGCCCACCUCAACUGAAACUUUUCAUAUUAACUUUUUUUUGGAGAAGCAAUUGUGCAUUUUACUAAUUUCAGUUUUAAGAUUUUUGUAGCCCUUGGUCAGCUUCUUUUGCAUACGGGAAUAUCUGGUACUGUGUGACUUACUAAACUUACAUAGCUAAUCUUCUUUUAUGAUAAGGAGGAGGCAGUAGGCACCUGCUGAAACAAUAAUUACUCCCAGUGAGAUCUUAAGCAUUGGAUCAAGGGGUGCUGUGAAAAAAAUAAUUAAACCCAGCUGUGACCUUAUUGAACGUUUCCCUUUGUGUCUCACAACGCAAGGGAACAAUCACAACCUGCCCUCUAAAGACAACUCUCUUCCUCCACACAAAACUACAAGCACCUAAUAACACACACACCCUUCAACCAAAAUUUCAGAAUUAUCAUGGCGACUCCUACACCAACCUCAGAGUCCCCAAUUGGGGACUUCAAGGGGACAUUUGUGGAGUCCCCCAUCUCGGGACUCCACAAAUGUCCCCAGGUCAGACUGCCCUUCUGACAACGACCCUAAGCGUCUUAACACCCCCUCAACUUUUUCUUCAUUAACUUCUGCAACAUUCACGGUCUAAGAUCUAAUUUUCAGUCUGUAGAACACCACCUCUCCUCUUCUAAACCUCAUCUUUUUUUUCUCACUGAAACUCAGGUGUCUGAGGCAACUGGCAGUAGCCCCUUUUCUGUUCCCUCCUACUUUAUCCUCAUUUUCGAUCCAAAGCUGGAUGUUGCGUUUAUGUGCUGCUCUCAUGCCCACGCUCUUGAAUCUUUUUGAGUUCUCCACCAUCUGGCUACAACAACAGUCACUCUCAAACUAAAUUUAUCUGUGCUGUUUAUUUCUCACCUAACUCCUCUGACUAAAAGAAAUUCUUUGACUACUUAACUUCCAAAGUGGAGCACAUUCUGACUCUCUUCCCUUCUGCAGAGAUCUCCAUUCUUGGAGACUUCAAUGUUCACCACCAGCUUUGACUUUCCUCUCCCUUCACUGACCAUCCUGGUGAACUAGCCUACAACUUUGCCAUCCUCCACGACCUAGAGCACCACCCUACUCGUAUUCCUGACCGUCUUGGAGAUAUGCCCAACAUUCUUGACCUUUUCUUGACCUUUAAUCCUUCUGCUUAUGCUGUCACCCUUUCUUCUCCGUUGGGCUCCUCCAAUCACAAUCUCAUAUCUGUAUCUUGUCCUAUCGCUCCAAUCCCUCCUCAGGAUCCCCCUAAGCGAAGGUGCCUCUGGCGUUUUGCCUCUGCUAGUUGGGGGGGGACCUGAGAAGGUAUUUUGCUGAUUUUCCUUGGAAUGACAACUGCUUCCAUGUCAGAGACCUGCCUUUGUGUGCCGAGCGCAUAACAGAGGUGAUAGUGUCUGGCAUGGAGGCGUAAUUCCUCACUCUUUUCUCGACCUUGGUUUAACACAGCUUGUUCUCGUGCUAUACAUGAUAGAGAGGUGGCCCACAAAAGGUACUUAAGCCUUCCAUCACCAGAAUCUCAUGCACUUUAUAGUUUUUUGCCCGGAACCAUGCCAAGUCUGUUCUCCAACUAGCCAAAAACUCCAUCAUUAACAGAAUGUGUCAAAAUCUUUCAAGAUUUAACUCCCCUCAUGAUUUCUGGCAUCUAGCCAAAAAUGUCUCCAAUAACUUUGCUUCUUCUUCUUUCCCGCCUUUAUUUCAACCACAUAGCACCACUGCUAUCGCAUCUACUUCUAAAGCUGAACUCUUUGCUCAAACCUUUGCUAAAAACUCUACCUUAGACGAUUCAGGGCUUGUUCCUCCCUCUCCUCCACCCUCUGACUACUUCAUGCUACCAAUUAAAUUCUUCGCAAUGAUGUUUUCCAUGCCCUCGCUGGCCUAAACCCUCGGAAGGCUUAUGGACCUGAUGGGAUCCCUCCUAUUGUUCUCCGAAACUGUGGCUCCAUGCUUGUAACUUGCCUAGUCAAACUCUUUCAGCUCUGCCUAUCAACAUCUACCUUUCAUUUUUGCUGGAAGUUUGCCUACAUUCAGUCUGUUCCUAAAAAGGGUGACCGUUCUAAUCCUUCAAACUACCGUCCUAUUGCUUUAAUUUCCUGCCUAUCUAAAGUUUCUGAAUCUAUCUUCAACAGGAAGAUUCUUAAACAUCUAUCACUUCACAAUCUUCUAUCUGAUCGCCAGUAUGGGUUCCGUCAAGGCCGCUCUACUGAUGAUCUGGCUUUCCUUACGGAGUCUUGGUCAUCCUCUUUUAGAGAUUUUGGUGAAACUUUUGCUGUUGCCUUGGACAUAUCAAAAGCUUUUGAUAGAGUCUGGCACAAAGCUUUAAUUUCCAAACUACCCUCCUACGGUUUCUAUCCUUCUCUCUGUAACUUCAUCUCAAGUUUCCUUUCUGACCGUUCUAUUGCUGCUGUGGUAGACGGUCACUGUUCUUCUAAAUCUAUUAACAGUGGUGUUCCUCAGGGUUCUGUCCUGUCACCCAUUCUCUUAUUAUUCAUUAAUGAUCUUCUAAACCAAACUUCUUGUCCUAUCCACUCCUACGCUGAUGAUACCACCCUGCAUUUUUCCAUGUCUUUUCAUAAACGUCCAACCCUUCAGGAGGUAAACAUUUCACGCAGGGAAGCCACAGAACGCUUGACUUAUGAUCUUUCUAAAAUUUCUGAUUGGGGCAGAACAAACUUGGUAUUGUUCAAUGCCUCAAAAACUCAAUUCCUCCAUCUAUCAACUCGACACAACCUUCCAGACAACUAUCCCCUCUUCUUCAAUGACACUCAACUAUCCCCCUCUUCUACACUGAACAUCCUAGGUCUGUCCUUUACUUAUAAUCUGAACUGGAAACUUCACAUCUCAUCUCUAGCUAAAACAGCUUCUAUGAAGUUAGGUGUUCUAAGACGUCUCCGCCAGUUUUUCUCACCCCUCCAGCUGCUAACUCUGUACAAGGGCCUUAUCCGUCCAUGUAUGGAGUAUGCUUCACAUGUCUGGGGGGGUUCCACUCAUACUGCUCUUCUAGACAGGGUGGAAUCAAAAGCUUUUUGUCUCAUCAAUUCCUCUCCUCUAACUGGCUGUCUUCAGCCUCUCUCUCACCGCCGCAAUGUUGCAUCUCUAGCUGUUUUCUACUGCUAUUUUCAUGCUAAAUGCUCUUCUGAUCUUGUUAACUGCAUGCCUCCCUUCCUCCCGCGGCCUCGCUGCACAAGACUUUCUUCUUUCUCUCACUCCUAUUCUGUCCACCUCUCUAACGCAAGAGUUAACCAGUACUCUCAAUCAUUCAUCCCUUUCUCUGGUAAACUCUGGAACUCCCUACCUGCUUCUGUAUUUCCACUUUCUAUGACUUGAAUUCCUUCAAGAGGGAGGUUUCCAGACACUUAUUCAUCAAUUUUUGACCACUGCUUUGACCCUUUUAUGGGACUGGCAUUUCAUUGGGCGUUCUUUUUAUUUAUUUAUUUUUUUAUUGGAUUUUUGUUGCCCUUGGCCAGUGUCCUUCCUACAAAAAAAAAAAAAAAAAAAAAAAGCAGUUGCCAAUACAAACUCUCGUCCUUCACGGCAAAAGAUAAUGGCUCAUGGCCUCACCAUGGAUUGUUGAUUUCAUGAGUGAUGUCAGUUUUAGCGGAAAUUUUCUGAAUAUAUUGUGCGCUUAUAUGAUUAUGAAGAAAAUUAAAAUUCACUGUGUUAUUCGAUACGAAUUUUCACUAUCAAUUAUUUUUUUUUCUGUUUGUUUCUGGAAUUUAUAUCCUUAUGUAAUGUUGAAUAAAGUAUUUUCAUAUGUAUCUUUCUUUGAAAACAAUGACUGGUAGUGUUCUGAUAAGUAUCAUCCUUAGGAACACCAAUAAAUCAACGUGAUCAGCUGGUGGAAGGCCUGGAGGUGGGGGAGGAAGCGGAGCAAGUGACUGGGCAGUCAUCCGGAGUCUUCCGUCAUGCGUUCGUUCCACGGAUAUACAGGGUGGUGGCUCGUGCUGUGCACACCCAUGGGGGCUGAAAAACCUCCAGCCAUGUAUUCAGGUCAGCAUAGAUCCAAGAUGGUGAGGUACUUUAGAAGUUCACAAGUCUCUCUCAUCUGCAAUAGAAUUAACAAAUGGGUCCAUUGUCCUCACCAGAAUAUUUCUACCACACUCCAGGGUGCACUCACCUGAUAUUACACAGGCAUUCUGCCCAGCUCCAUUGCAUCCCCAAUCACACCAGAGCCACUAGCCAACAUCUUUGACUCGGACUGUGUGACAAGCAAAAGUACACUAGUAGUACAGUGCAUAAUAUUGUGUUAGCUCUUAUGUGACCAGUGUGUUGUAUAUGUUAGCUCUUAAGUGACCAGUUUGUUGUGUAUAGUUAAGUGAGCUCUUAGGUGACCAGUGUGUUGUGUAUAGUUAAGUGAGCUCUUAAGUGAACACUAAGUGUGUAGUUGCAUAAUGUUGGGUGAACUCUUAAAUGACCAGUGUGUUGUGUAGUAUGUAAUAACAUAAUAUGCUGUAAAUAUCCAUCUUGGGGCUUAUAAUGUGCUAAUAAAUAUGUUGUAAAUAACAGUAAAUGUACAUAUAUAUGUAUGUAAAAACUGGCCAAAAACGUAUAUUUUUGGAUAAACCAAACUUUCAGGUAAACUGUCAGCCACCUCGUCACAUGUAGUUUGGUUUGUUUGGUUCAUGGAGGUUUUACUGUGAUGGGAAGAAAGGGAUUAGGUUUUGUGACCUUUGUCAAAGAUUGCAAGUUUUCAAACUAAAAUGUAGGAUACCAAAUGCAACAAACAUAUCUAUAUUAUAGAAUUAUAUUAUAAAAUUUUAUAAAAAAAAUCAAAGAAAAAUAGCAUACAAAGAAUGUGAUUCUUAUUAAUUAAACAUAUAUAAUGUGCAUAACACUCACCACUGUGUAGUUAAUGUAUCAGGGAGGGUGAUUCGUUGACCACUGUUGUGCCUACAGUGCCUCUUAACAAUUUCUACCUUCUUCGCGAGUGUUAUUGGUACUCUAGCUUGCUUAGCCUUACUGCUAUAACUUGCACUGGAAGUUAUUGACUACUUGGGAUUUAGCACUUGAGAGGCAAAAUUUUAAGGCACAAUCUAUACAAUAUACACAUGGUCAAUCACACACACACCACCACACCAAACCAAAGGUAGCGAAUGAAACAACACACCAGCAGUAACAGUAUAACACAUUCAAGCACUGAUCAGCCACAUAAAACAUUGUACACUGUACUUGCACUCUACUGUAAAUAUGCUUGUAAGCAAAAUGAUGAUUAAUACAAGUAUAAUAAUGAAGAGUAAGGCCACAAGAAUAGGGGUCAGGGAGACACUGACACAGUUUAAAAGAGGACUGGUGGGGAGAAUGAAUGGUAGGUAGGGGACAAGCACACAUGAACUCGUCUCUGUACAUCUAAAUGAUUGUACAUCAUCAUACAGCCUGGAUGUGUUAACAGAAGGGUGCAGGAAGGUGCGCAUUUUAAACUUCUCACCUUGGACUGCAUUGUAUUUUUGUGCUUGUGUAAAGAAAAUAGUCCUGAAUUUACACAUCUCAUAUCAUCUGUUUCUCAUAUAAUGGAUAUUCAUCUAACAGAACCUCCCUGUUUUCUCAUUUUCCUUUCACAACCUCUUCCUUUUAAUGCCAUUUUGUCUACUUAACUUCUGGUUCUCACAUUUCUCCACAUUUCCUCCCCCCCCUUCAUCCCUAAUUUCCUUCCUUUUGAUUCUCUUGUCACUUCAAAACUCUUAAUUAGUUUCACUUGUUCAACACUGUUUGAAGACAGCAGUGCUUUAGGAGUCCAAAUAUGUUAUAAGAGUACCAAUCUCUGAUUAUAUAAAUUUCAUAGGAAUGAUUAGUAGAUAAACUAUGUUAGGUCAUAUUGUCCUGGUUUGCUAGGCCAAGCAACCAAAAGGCGUGGAAGCCCCAUCUCUUGUACAUUGAUCGUAGUAAAAGUAACAUAACUAACUAAACAUAUGUGGAUUACUUUGACAGCUAACAAUAUCCACUUUGUAACUAAACAUGUAUGUGGCAAUAUCCUAUGCAUUUUGACAGUAUCUUCAAGCAACUUAAAGAUCAUUACAAAAACAAAAACCUUUUAAAUUAAGCUUGUAAACAACAUGUAACUAAUUUAUGAAAUAUAAUAGUAUGCUAAACAACAGCAUGAUACAAAUAUGUUUUGAGAUAUGAUGAAACUAUUUACUCCUUAUGAUAGCUGCUGUUAAACUAUUUACUCAUGAUUAAAGCUACUGAUAAAGCUAGUGUUAGCCGCUGUUAAACUAUUUACUCUUAUAAUUAAUGCUACUGAUUAAGCUAGUGUUAGCUUAUGUUAAACUAUUUACUCCUUAUGAUUAAAGCUACUGAUAAAGCUAGUGUUAGCUGAUGUUAAACUAUUUACUGCUUAUGAUUAAAAUUACUGUUAUCAGUAGCUUUGAAGUUAAAUAAUUGUAGCAGUUUAUCCAUAUAUAUCAUGGUGUAGGCUAGGAUUAAACUAUGCUUAUUAUUUUAACAGGGAAAAUAGAAUGUUGGUCAAGUUCUUGUGUUUCCUGAUGGUGCACUGACUACCCCAACUUGAACAUUUGUGGGUUGGCGCCACACAGUCUCUGCACUGCCUCUACUGUCAGUGGGGUGUCUGAAAGAUUUAAGGUACAUACUUGUAUCCACUACCACCAUCAUGAUCAUCCAUGACAAGCAAAGAAUAUUAGCUCAAGAAAUGCAACAGUUAAUGUACUACAUAUGAAGAUGUCUUAGUCUAUCCACAUUAAAGGGGAUGUCUGCACAGUGUAUGGAGAUAAAGGAGUUGCUUUCUUAGAGGCUAGGCAUCAAAACAACUUGUAUACCACAUGACCUUUAACAGAGCAUCCAUAGUGUGGACAGCCCUCAUGAGACUAAUCUGCCUUAAACUUUCCAAUAAGCAACAGACUUCAUUCCAUUCUCAGCUGUCAACUUACCCAUCUGGAACCAGGAGUCAUCCCCAUUCUCUGCUCUGAAGGCGGUUAUGGCUUGGCGCAGAGCAGAAACUACUGCAUAGGAGAGGCAGAGAGGAGGCUCCCCAGUAGCUGAAGAGGAAUUUUAAAGAUAUUAAAUUCACCAUAUGGACAAUUGCAUAAAGGAUGUGCAUCUGGGUGCUGCUUUAGUAGAAGCAAGAAAAUAAGUGGAGGGACGGAUCUCUCAAACACAAAUGUAAGAGGCUGUACUGAUAACAGUCAGAUAAUGGCAAUAAUGCUUGUUUGAGAAAGUUGACAGCUAACUCUCUUUGUUUCUGUCAGCUUUUCUUCCACAAGUUUGCUAUGAUGUACUAACUUUGUGCUUUGUACUUCCAUAUUAUCUACCACAACUCAGCUCAUACACUAGUUAAGGAAUUUUGUUUGAUAGUUAUAAGCAAUAGUAAUUGCAUUAUGUAAAAUAUAAAUUCCUAUUUGCAGCAGCUAUGGGAAGAAAAAGAAAUCUGAAAAUUUUGUGUACAAGUUUUCAUAAAUAGCUGUACAUAGAGAUGGAAAUGUUUAAAAGCACUUCACCUCAUACCUCGCAUCUUUAUAAGCAGUUACAUGCUUCACUUAAAUGGCACUUUCAUGUGAAAAAUAUAAAAUAUUGUGUUUGGGAAACUAAUAAAGUGUAAGUAUUAAUUCUAUAGCUGCAGCAGAUGGCAGCCACAUAGGGAGCUUGAAUCUGUUCUCUGACUUGAACUUUUCACUAAUCUUUGUUUUACAGAUUACUUAAAUGUACAGGGUGGGGCAAAUCAAAUGCCCGAGUUUUGAUAGGCUAUUAGGAAAAGUAAAACAAUAAUUACAG